UACAGAGGUGGCAAGCGUUGUUCGGAAUUACUGGGCGUAAAGGGCGCGUAGGCGGCCUUCUAAGUCGAAUGUGAAAGCCCCAGGCUUAACCUGGGAACUGCGUUUGAUACUGGAAGGCUUGGAUUCGGGAGAGGGAUGCGGAAUUCCAGGUGUAGCGGUGAAAUGCGUAGAUAUCUGGAGGAACACCGGUGGCGAAGGCGGCAUCCUGGACCGAGAUCGACGCUGAGGCGCGAAUACUAGGGGAGCAAACGGG
rnacentral:rRNA from 1 species